rnacentral:rRNA from 1 species
AUUGAACGCUGGCGGCAGGCCUAACACAUGCAAGUCGAGCGGAUGAAGGGAGCUUGCUCCUGGAUUCAGCGGCGGACGGGUGAGUAAUGCCUAGGAAUCUGCCUGGUAGUGGGGGAUAACGUCCGGAAACGGGCGCUAAUACCGCAUACGUCCUGCGGGAGAAAGUGGGGGAUCUUCGGACCUCACGCUAUCAGAUGAGCCUAGGUCGGAUUAGCUAGUUGGUGGGGUAAAGGCCUACCAAGGCGACGAUCCGUAACUGGUCUGAGAGGAUGAUCAGUCACACUGGAACUGAGACACGGGCCAGACUCCUACGGGAGGCAGCAGUGGGGAAUAUUGGACAAUGGGCGAAAGCCUGAUCCAGCCAUGCCGCGUGUGUGAAGAAGGUCUUCGGAUUGUAAAGCACUUUAAGUUGGGAGGAAGGGCAGUAAGUUAAUACCUUGCUGUUUUGACGUUACCAACAGAAUAAGCACCGGCUAACUUCGUG